rnacentral:lncRNA from 1 species
AUUUUUCCGUGUCGGGUUUGGGUCUCAAUAUUUUGACACGAUUAUUAAAUGGGUCGGGUUUGGGUCGACCUAAAUUUGACACGACACGAAACUGACACGACACGAACACGACCCGAUGACCCGUUUUGCCAGCUCUAGUUAUUACCCGUCAUUUGCCCUAUGGCAUGACGGUUGAGUGACCGUCAUUGAUUCUGGUGUCAAGAAAAUAAAAUAGUUGUUUUUAUAUGUCAUGUUAUGCAUGACGUAUUAUCAAUCACGAUUCUGUCAUUAUUACUUUGAUGAAAAAUUUUCAAGCAUGAUUAAUAUCUAUCAUAAACACUUCCUAUUCAUGACUGUUGUUUGUAAUACAAACAUGACAUAUUUAAUUGGAAUAAUAAAAUUAUUUAA